GCUCCGGAAGGUGAUGCCGCCCCGAGCGUCUACGCUGACUCUUUCCCUUGUUACCCUGGCUUCCUGCUCAGCUGAUAGGCUGCUUCAGUGUAUCCGGAUUAAUGUCUCUCUUUCCCAUCACGUGGAACUGAUCAUACGCAGUUCUUUUUAAAAAUAACGAAGAUGCAUUCCAUCAUGAUUUUUUCUGUAUUUCUUGAAAUGGAUAUCUUUUCUCUUUAUCUUUUCAUGUUGUUUUUAAUCAAUUGACUUCAAAUGUACUUUGGAUCUCACACUUGUACAACACAGUUCAUGGAUACAUCUCUAAGCCUCUUUAAUGGAAAUUGAAAUAAGGAAAAGGCAAUUCUGUUAUUCGCCUGGAGGAGAAUAAGCUCUUUCUACGUAACUUCAUCUCCCAAUGCACAUUACUUGUGGGAUGGCUGGCUAUUAGAAUGUGCAAUUCCUCUUCCAGCUUUGUGAAUCCAUCUAAAGGAUGCCUGAAGCAGAAGUGGAAACCCCAUGUAUACUCGUCACGACCUACACAAGAACUCGAAGCCUUCCAACACGCAGAAAUUGUUUUGUGAGACUCACCACCAGAUGGCAGCGUUCUCAGAGGACCAGUUUCCUCGCUAUGGUCCAGGGCCUUUCACUUUCCCACGUGGACCUCCUCCUUUU
rnacentral:lncRNA from 1 species